GUAAGACGCAGACCAUCUAGCUCAGAUAAGGACUUGGAAACUGUCUUUGCAGUCUCUCUCUUCUGUGCCACACAGAAAGAUUUCUGCAGCCUGCGAUUUUUCUUGGUUUAAACUGCAUUUAUCAAAUCGAAACACAUGUAUACAGUAGUUGGAGGAAGGAAGAACCACACAGUUGGGGUGUUACCUGUUGUCAGUCUUUAAGAGCAAUGAGGAAGAUGAAGGUGUCUGUCCUGAUAUACAUACAGUCUUCCACUUUUGG